GGUGUUAUCUAUUCUGACUAGGAAUAGAUCAUACCAGAGGUAGCUUAGAAAUAGCAGAGACAUUAGAAAUUGAAGUAAUAAAUAGGAUGUCGUAAGUGUUACUAUCAAUGAUUUAUUUGUUUCAAGCUUGCCUAGGGUGACAGUAAAAAAUCAUUUUCCUUUCAAUAGCAUAUUUUUAGUGGGCAGGACUCUUGUUCUGCCUAUUUU
rnacentral:sRNA from 1 species